rfam:Dipodomys ordii contig_50731, whole genome shotgun sequence.
GGGAAGGUGGCUCAGUGGUAGAGUGCUGCCUUGCAUGCAUGAGGCCCUGGGUUCGAUUCCUCAGCCCCA